rnacentral:lncRNA from 1 species
CCCCGCUCCGCCCCCCGCGCCCCGCACGCCCCGCUCCGCCCCCUGAGCCCGCACGCCCCGCUGCUCCCCCUGCGCCCUCCGCCCGCCCCUCCUCCCGAGCGCCGGGGCCUGGGGGCGGCUCCGGGGAGGCGGCGCCGGUGCCAGGUUACCGGCUGGGGGAUUCGGAGGGUCGCGGGCCUCGUACCCACGGCAGUGCGAACGCCCAUCUAGGCUCACCAGGCCGGGCCACACCGCGGGCCCGCCCCGCGGGCACACGCUUCCUUCCUGUCCGCGCCCGAGCUGCGGGCGGGCGGCGCCCCGGCCUGGGGCCCGCGUCACGCCGGGGCCUCAAUAAAGGGCUUUGUGGUCCCGGCCCCGCCCGCGAGGGGUCGGGGCGCCGGGCUUGGGAUGCGCGCCCCGCGAGGUCCCGUCGGACACAGGCCCCCUGGUGAGACAGCCAGGACCGGGACCACGCUGGACGGAACAAAGGCCACGAGCCAAAGACAGGGCUGUAAGCUGGCCUUUCCAUGAAAAUGACACUUUUAAAUGUAAUGAGGUUGUGUUGAAGCCAUUUGGGGACUGAUUUGGGGACCAUUUGGGGGGCCACUUAAAGAAAUGUGCUGGGUUCUGACCUGUUCGCUGUGUGCCGUUCUCACCGGUGACGCUUGAGCGGCAGCGUUGUUGUCAUUGCUACUGUUCACACCCUCUGGUGGGUCAAGGCCGUUUCAAACGCUAAAGCUGGAAACCCGUAUGAUGUGUUCUGUGUUCGUGUAAAGAGCAAGACAGGAUCAGAAACCGUGGCCUGAUGGACCUGUUUCUGAAGUCAUUACACUAUGGUGACUCAGGAUGAAUCUAUAUUUUAAUACAUCAGGUGGUCACCACUUGACGUCAGAGGACAAUAGCUUACCUUUCCGUUUUGCGUGAGGGUUUUGGAGUCAGAACUGGUUUGGAAUUCUAGUUCUGCCUCUUGCCAGUUUUCAUAGCUUACCUACGUAACUUCUCUAAGCCUCCAUUUCUUUAUCUCUAAAACGUGUAUAAUACUCUUACAGGGUUGUUGUGAGGAUUAAAGAUCAUGUCUAAAUUCUCUGCCACGUGGAGAAGAAAUCAGGACCCAGGGAGAGGAUGUGAUGAGUCCAGGGCCACACUGAGAGAUAUCAGACAGCCUGUGAUUUCACCAUAUGGGAACUCCUUUUCUUGCAUAUGUAGAUAAUUCCUGACAAUUGUGUUUAGUUAUUUCCUGUGUGACUCACUUUGAACAAAUCUGGUGGAAGUUAUGGUGUAUGACUUUUGAGACUAGGUCAUAAAAAGUAUUGUGGCUUCCUUCUUGCUGUCUCUCUUGGAUCACUAACCCUGGAAGAGGCCAAUUGCCAUGUUGGAAGGACACCAAAGCCACCUUAUGGAGAAAUUCACAUGCAAAGGAAUUGAGGCCUCUGGCCAACAACGGGUGAGGUGGCCUCUUGCUACCAACCAUGUGAGUGCGCAAUCUUGGAAGCAGAUGUUCCAUGGCUCGCUCACGCCUUCCGAUGACUGCAGCCCCAGCAGAUAGCCCCAGCUGAUAUCUUGACUGAAGCUUCACGGGAGACCCCGGGCCAGAACCACCUAGCCAAGUCACUCCAGAAUUCCUGGCCCUGAGACAAUAUAAGAUGUUUGUCAUUUUAAGCUUACAACCUUUGGGGUAAUUGUUACACAGCAAUUGAUAACUAAUAAUACUAUUAAAUGUCUUAUUGUGGAAGAAAUGUUUUACGUAGAGGAAAAUAGCCAUAUUUUUACAGUUGGGAUUAAUAAUUUGAUAAAAAAAUGAAUAAAACACUUUAUGCUUUACCAUUUACUGGGCAGCUGAUUUUGCUAAAUCUCAUCCAGGACCAGUUAAGAUCCUUAAAAACUGUCAACACAGAAAAUAUAUGGUAGCCACCCUCCCCCACAGGUAUUUAAAAACAAGACUAGCACUAAAUCCUAUAGAAGAUGCAUGGCUAUCCAAUAAAGGUCUGGUCUCC